rnacentral:rRNA from 1 species
UACGUAGGUGGCAAGCGUUAUCCGGAAUUAUUGGGCGUAAAGCGCGCGUAGGCGGUUUCUUAAGUCUGAUGUGAAAGCCCCCGGCUCAACCGGGGAGGGUCAUUGGAAACUGGGGGACUUGAGUGCAGAAGAGGAGAGUGGAAUUCCAUGUGUAGCGGUGAAAUGCGCAGAGAUAUGGAGGAACACCAGUGGCGAAGGCGGCUCUCUGGUCUGCAACUGACGCUGAUGUGCGAAAGCGUGGGGAUCAAACAGG